ensembl:misc_RNA Metazoa_SRP Metazoan signal recognition particle RNA
GCUGGGCGUGGUGGCUCACGCCUGUAAUCCCAGCACUUUGGGAGGCUGAGGCAGGUGGAUCACUUGAGGUCAGGAGUUCGAGACCAGCCUGACCAACAUGGUGAAACCCCGUCUCUA